UCUUUGCCUGUACGCUUCUAUUUUGGGGCUUCUUAAUCUCCUUCAUCAACUGUUUUUUUCCUUUCUCAUAUUUAGGGUUUUUUUAUGUUCGAUUUUCCGGUCAUCGGUAGGAUUUAGGGGUUUUUUGUGUUUGGAUCUUUCUAUCAUCGGUAAGGUAAUUUCUGAUUUUUGUUAUUUUAUACAGUUUUCCUAGGGCAAACUCAACAGCCGAAUCCCCGUAAAUUUGUUUCGCCGAUUUUCUAUUCUUGCGGAUUCGGAUUAUUCCUUCAGUUUUGUUGCCAUGCACUUUGCAUUCCGGAACCACAUUUCUGGUUUUAGUUUGACCAACGUUUUUUAAAAAAAGGUUCUCAUGAGUGUUAGUUUUAGUUUGGAAUUCUAGUUUUGUUCAUAAAUCAUAGAAAUUUUGAUUUUUUUGGGUUUUCUAGGGUUUAUGUAACAUGCUUGAAUUUUGAUGGAUGAUAAUUCGCUAACUCGAUUUCUAUUCUGUUCUCUCCCUUUAAUGGAUACUUCUGUGUUAUACUUACGACCAAAGAAAAUAGUGUUAUAUAUUGUUUAGAAAGUAUUUAAUGUGAAAUGUGAACUAUUAAUUGAAAUGGGUUUUUGAAAUGUUAUUUGAUUCUGAGUUAGUAUAUCAGUUGAUUUUUUUUGUAUCUUGUUGCAUGUUCCAUAUUUGCCGGUAGACAAUGAUUCUUCUCAAAUGUCAAUUGAAAUGGAUUAUUUUGUUGCUUGGUGCUACAUUUUUUUGAUGCUAAUUGAUUUGUAAGUCAGUGAUUCAGUUCAAGUUUUAUUUUGUUGAAAGAAGUUUUUGAUGCUCCGACUCUGUAUUUAUUAGAAUAAUGUUGGUGCUUGGGGUUGUCUUGUUUAUCUCUGUCCGUAAGUAAACAUUCUCUUGGCUGCUGACUUUUGUCUGUUAUGAUUAUGAUAUGAUGUUCUGUAGCUUUUUGAUGCUUCUAAUACAAAUUUAUGUUGAUAUAUUGAAGCUGUUAACGGUUAUGCUUAUCAAGAUGUUAGGGCUGACAGCAACAGGUAUUUGCAUUUUCAAUUGCCUCAUUAUGUUAGUUUAAGGCGGUACUUGUUCCAAUUUCUGUGUUGAGGUCCUUAUUCUUUAGCCUAUGUCUUAUAUUAUAGGUAUAUAGGAUCAAGUACUAAGCAACUGUUCGAUGCAGUGGUGUUUGAAUCCUGCUGUUGACGUUCCGACACAACUUUUUGUAAUGCACUGACAUUGUAUAAAUAAUUUUCUUUUCUUCGAGAUGAUAAUAAAAUUCCUUGCAAUGUAUGUGAUACUUUUUUCAAUGAGCUGGGUGUAUAAGAAAAUGCUCUAAUGGUCGUUUACUAAACUACUGUCAUGUUCUAUUCUAUUCUAGUUUAAUAUUUACUGUUUGUUAGGCUUGUGAAUUAAUUUGCUUAGAAUCCUGUAUCUGAUAGUUCCUUGGAUAAGUUGGCAUCCUGCAUGUUAUUUAGUACUCAUUCAUAACUUAUUACAAAAUUGCAUGUCUACUAGAAAUCAUGUGAGCUUUGCCCGCACAGGAUCUAAUCCUGCCAUUCACGUCAUGAACUCGCAAUUUUAUUCACUUUUGUUAUGCAUGGUGCUGCUCAAAAAUAUCAUUGUUGAAACAAGAAUGCUUAUGGAUGUUUGUGCCAAAUUUUAUAUCUGUACAAUUUUUCUUUGCUAAAAGUUAAACCAGAAAUUUUUGUGUCACUUUUUUUUAUAUGCUUAAAACUUGCCUUUGCUGCUUAGGUAAAGUUUUAAUUGGCGUUUGUUUGAAUGAUCAUUGACGAACUUUACUAAGUGAUAAGAAGUAUCUCGAUUCUCAGACACUUCUUUUGUUUCUUAUUAUGCUUUAUCUUCUUCAUUUAUUCCUAGCAAUUCUCUAUUACAUAACUGGUCAUGCUUUGUUGGAAAUUCAUUAUUUAGAGUCCUGACAAUCAGUGUGGUGGUCACCCAUUGUACAGCUUAUUUAUGAGUGCAGGAUAACUAUUAGAGCUUUAAUUGGGAGCAUUUUAAUAUGAGUGGUUGAGCCAGAGUGGUUAUCAUGCAUGACUAGAAAUCAUGUGGGCUCAGGUUUGAAUCCUUCUGUUCUUGUUUCUAUUUUCACUACUUGUGUUCCAUUUAUGCAACUGAUGUCAUCUGCAAUAUUAUAGAUUCAGUUUGGUGAUUGUACGUUGUCCUACUUUGAGUUGGUUUCAAGAAUUUGGAAUAAUAUGAAAUCACUAUCUAAGAUACUUUUUUAGGAGUUUUAUUUGUUGCUUCAUGAAAUACUUUCAACCAGAAGGACAUUUGUGUUACUUGCAUCGUAUUUGUUUAAAAUUUAUCUUUGUUGCUUAGGUCAAGUUUUAAUUGACGUUUGUUUGAAUGAUCAUAGAGGAACUGUAAGUAUCGAAAUCUGCAUACGCUUCUUUUGUUUUCUGUUAUGCUUGACCUUCUUGAUUUUUUCCUAGCUAUCUGCGCUUAAAUAAUCAGGUCUUGCUUUGUUGUAAAAUCAUUAUUUAUAGUCUUCAGCGUCACUGUGGUGGUCACCCAUUGAGCAGAUUAUUCAUUAGUAUUGAGCAUGAAAUGGGAGCAUUUAAAUAUGAAUUGGAUGAGCCGGAGUGGUUAUCGUGCAUGACUAGAAAUCAUGUGGGCUCAGGUUCAAAAUUUCAAAUCCUCCAGUUUUGUUUCUAUUUUCGUUACUUGUGUACAAUCUAUGCAACUAAUGUCAUCUACAAUAUUACAGAUUCUGUUUGGUGAUUGUACAUGGUCUUACGUUUGGUUAGUGUCACAAAUUCGGAAUCAUCUGAAAUCACUAUUUAGGUGACUUUUUUUAGGAGUUUAUUUGUUGCUUCAUGGAAUAAAUAUUUUACAAACAUGUUGAAAUAUUAUUGUAGUGAUAUUCAAACAAUUUUUUCUUUUACAUAUUCCCAUAGUAGUGAUAUUCAAACAAUUUUUCAAGGAGUUUUAUUUGUUGCUUCAUGGAAUAAAUAUUUUACAAUUAUGUUAAAAUAUUUAUAGAACAUGUGAAAUAAUUUGCUUUGCAUGCACGGUUUUGAAUCCUACCGCUCACGUUUAAUCUUCUUAGUUAAAGGUUCAAAGGGGAGUGCUGGAAGUUUGUCUGAAUGAUUGAAUGAUUAUAGAGGAACUGCUUUUUUUUGAUAAGUAUCUUAAUUCUGAUGCACUCUCUAUUUUCUAUUAUGUUUGACUACUUGAUAUACUCCAAGUGAUCCACAAUAAAAUACGCGUCUUACUUUACUGUAAAAUCAUUAUUUGGAUUCCUGACAAUCGCUUGUGGUGGUAACUUUGUGAGGAUCUUCUUUAAAAAUGCAGGAUUAGCAUUAGUGUGGAUGAUUUGGGAGUUUUUCAAUAUGAAGUGGAAAGGCGAUGUGGUUAUUGGGCAUGACUAGAAACUAUGUGGUUUCUGUCUGCACACGUAAAAAUCUUGCUGUUCAGGUUUCUAUUUUCACCACAUGUCUGUACCGUCUAUGCAAUUUUGUUAGCUGUAUUAUAUAGAUUCAGUCUGUUGAUUGGUGAUGAUACAUGGUCUUAAUUGUUGUCAUGAAUUUCAAAUCUCUUCACGGUGUGUUGAAAUCAUGUAUUGGUGAUAUUUGUAUGAAAAACUCAUGCAUUCUCAUUCUUAGAAGUGUAACCUGAUUAGACAUUUGAAUAUGUGCAGCUAUGUUCUACUAUUGUAAAUUGUUCGUUUGUCUUUGGGGUACUGUUUGAUAAAUUUCUAAAGUAUUGCAUUCUUUGACACGAAAACAAAGACGCCCCAAUAUUUUAGCCCUGGACUGGUUUAUUGAUAUUUUAUCAGUAUUUAUGUGAUUGUUUAGAUUUUGAGCUUUCGCUAACAAUACGUUGAUUGUAAGUGAUACUACCAGAAUAUUUACUGGUCAUGACCAAAAAUAUUCCUGCUUUGACAACCUUUAAUCUACUUUAACUUAUAGCUCAGAUACAAGAUUGAAGUGAAAGUGCAUGAGGUUGGUUGAAUUGAUUGCAAGAAAUGUAUUCAUUUUCCUUCACAAGCAGAUGAAUUGAUUUAUAUGUCAGUGAUCAGUCAGUUUUUGUUGGUUUUUGUCUGUUUGAUUCAAAUUUUUAAUUUGUUGACGAAUUUUUUGAUGCUCCGACUCUGUAAUUACUAGAAUAAUGUUGGUGCUUGAGGUUGUCUCGUUUAUCUCUAUCCCUAAGUAAACAUUCUUUUAGCUACUGACUUUAUAUCUUUUAUGAUAUUAUGAUAUGAUGUUCUGUAGUUUUUUGAUGCUUCUAAUACAAAUUUAUGUUGAUAUAUUGAAGUUGUUUACCAGUUAUGCUUAUCAAGGUGUUAGGGCUGACAGGUUUUGCAUUUUCAAUUGCCUCAUUAUAUUGGUUAAAGGCGGUACUUGUUCCAAUUUCUUUGUUGAGGUCCUUAUUUCUUAUAUUAUAGGUAUACAAGAUCAAGCACCAAUCAACUGUUCAACGCAGUGGUGUUGAAUCUUGCUUUUGACGUUUUGACUUAACCUUUUGUAAUGCACUAAUAUUGUAUAAAUCACUUUCAUUUCUUCUAGAUGAUAAUAAAAUUUAUUGCAAUGCUUGUGAUACUAUUUUUUAAUGAUGGGGGUGUAUAAGAAAAUACACUAAUGGUUGUUAAACUACUGUCAUUUUAUUUUAAUUUAGUUUGUUUGUUAGGCUUGUGAAUUAAUUUGCUUAGAAUCUUGUAUCUACAACAUUCCUUUGAUAAGUUCGUUGACGUGCCGGAUGUUAAUCGUGCAUGACUAUAAAUCAUGUGGGCUUUGCCCUCGCAGGUUCUAAUCCUGUUGUUCAUGUUGCAAACUCACAAUUUUAUGUAUCUUCCGUUAUGCAUUUUGCUGCUCAAAAAUAUCAUUUUUGAAACAAGAAUGCUUAAGGAUUUUGUACCAAAUUUUGUAUUUGUACAGUUUUUCUUUGCUAAAAGUUAAUCAGAAUGACAUUUGUGUUACUUUUAUCAUAUUUUCUUACAGCUUGCCGUUGCUGCUUAGGUAAAGAUUUAAUUGACGUUUGUUUAAAUGAUCAGAGGAACUGUACUAAGUGAUAAGAAGUAUCUCAAUUCCAUACACUUCUUUUGUUUCGUAAUUACUAUUAUUCUUAACCUCUUGAUUUAUUCCUAGCAAUCUAUAAUUAAAUAAUUGGGCCAUGCUUUGUUGGAGAAUCAUUAUUUAGAGUCCUGUGAGUGGGGUGGUCACCAUUGUGCACGUUAUUUAUGAGUGCAGGAUUACUAUCUGUAGAGCUUUAAUUGGGAGCAUUUCAAUAUGAAAUGGCUGAGCGAGAGUGGUUAUCGUGCAUGCCUAGAAAUCAUGCGGGCUCAGAUUUGAAUCCUUCUGUUCUUGUUUUUAUUUUCGUUACUUGUGUACCAUCUAUGCAAUUGAUGUCAGCUGCAAUAUUACAGAUUCAGUUUUGUUAUUGUAAGUUGUCUUGCAUUGAGUUAGUGUCACGAAUUUGGAAUAAUCUGAAAUCACUAUCUAAUUGACCUUUUUUAGGAGUUUCAUUUGUUGCUUAGUGGAAUUAAUUUCUUAUAAAUAUGUUGAAAUCUUAUUUUAAUGAUAUUCAGACAAUUUUUUUUACAUAUUCCCUUUAUUAAAAGUGAAGCCAACUAGUAUCCCCCUUCAGUCUUAAACUAUUCUUUUGUCUUCGAAGUACUGUGAAUUAUUUUUUUUUUUGUCCGCACAAGUUUGAAUCCUACUGCUCACGUUUUUUUACUUUUUAGUUCAAGUAUUAAUGGGGAGUGCUGGAUGCUUGUCUGAAGGACUGAAUGACUGUGGAGGAGCUUCUUUUUUUGACAUGUAUCUUGAUUCUGAUGCAGUUUCUGCUUUCCUAUUAGGAAAACAAAGAUGCCCCAGUAUUCUUGCCCUACUGGACUGGUUCAUUGAUAUUUCAUCUGUUUUUAUGUGAGUAUUUAGAUUUCGGACUUUUAAAUACGUUGAUUUUAGGUGAACCUACUGAAGUAUUCAGUGGUCAUGACCAAAAAUAUGCCAAGCUUCGGCAACCUUUGAUCUUGUUUGCCUCAUAGCUCAGAUACAAGAUUGAAGUGAAAGUGCAAAAGGUUUGUUGAAUUGAUUGCAGGAAGUAUAUUCUUUUUCCUUCACAAGCAGAUGAAUUAACUUAAAACUGCUACUACUAAUUUAAGUGGAUAUGCCAGAGUGAUUAUCUGUUCUGACUUGAAAUUUUGAGGUCUUUGCCUACAACAGGUUUGAAUCUUGGCAAUUUUUCCUGCUAGAAUAUAAGGUUUACCAUUUGGAAGGUGAUGUAUGUGUAUUUCAGGGUCACUGAAGAUUCUGGAGCUAUUUAUUAUUAUGUGACCAGAAGGCAUACGGUGAUAAGUUGCUGAUGUUCUUUUCCUUUUUUUCUUAGCAUUGCAUUAUGCCAUCAUCCUGGUAUUUUUCUUGUGCUCAAUUGUUCAAUGUUAGUGUAAACUUGUAGGUUAUCAGUUGAUAAGUUGACAUGUGUGAUAAAAGAUCUCUUCAGCUAUUGUGCAUAGUUCCACAUGGGAUGAACGUGCUGGAGUGGUCAUCUAGCAUGACCUCAUUUGGGCUUUACCUGUGCAGCGUUCCUUGAAGGAGUUGGCGUUCUGCAGGAUAUUAAGUAUUCAUUCUUAAAUUAUUCUUAAAUUGCAUGUCCACUACCUCCUCUCAAGUAAGUGGACGCGCCGGAGUGGUUAUGUGAUUUGGUGCCCUCUUAGGAGCAGUUCAGAAGCCAUUUUUGUUUCCAGAGUUCUAAUUGUAUUCCGAUGGUGAAGACAUCUUUAUAACCGGUGAAAUAAGUUUUGCUGGAGGACUGCAAAAUUACUGUUAAUUACAUUACGAGCCUGACAUGCAAUGGAAAUAUCCAAGUGGUAAUCGAGCAUGAUUAGAAAUUAUGAGUUCUGGCUGCACAAGGUUGAGUCCUGUUUAAAUUUCAGGGCGCUGUAAAUUGAAACAAGAAUUAUGAUUUGGGUUGUUGUCUCUUACAUGUGAUUUUGUGCCUUCUUAGGAGCCGUUUAGAUGCCAUUUUUGUUUCCAGGUAUCUUGAUACACUUCUCUGUUUAUCUUUUCUCAUUUUUUUUGCUCAUAAAAUUUCAUGUUAAUGAUUGUAGAACUUCUAAAUCGGAUCGGCUGAGAAUUCUGAUUGCAGUCUAGGUGCAAUAAGAUUAUGCAUUGCUCGUCUUACAAAGGUUGAUUCUUAUUCUGUGAUGGACAUCUAAAUUAUUUGAUUGUUGCUGUCGUGCAUGGUGGUGGUGUGGGUUAGAUUGUUCACACUUGUAGGAACUAACCCUAGAUUUCACCUCAUUGGAUAUUCUAAGCAUGUUCAACCGCACAGAUAAAAAAUUAGGGGCCUCAGCAUAAAUUUUUUUAGCAUAUGUUAGGUGUUUCAAGAUACAAAAUUGUUAGAAAAAACAUCAUAAUUUUUAAAAUUGCAUAGGGUCUUUAUAAAAUGGACUUUGUUAUACAUAGCCCUAAGGGCUAUGUAUAAAAAUUAGCAAAUUUCUAUAAUAAAUGUACAUGGACUAAUUUCAAUGGAAUCUUUGACAAGUUUAUUAAUAGAUCAACAAAUUACUCAUUAAAUUAGCCUUGUAAAAUAAUUAAUCUUUGACAAGUUCACCACAAAAUUAAAGUAAUAAAUUGCUCUUAUAUUGAAAAAAGAAAUUACUCAUGAUUUAUAUGGGGAAUAUAAAAGAAUCUUAUUAGCAUUAAUGGUUAUAUGUAGCCCUUCAUUUGCCUUAUAAAAUUUAUCAAUUUUUGCUCCGCCUUUUUUCGACUACAUAUUUACUAAAAACAAUUUCUUGUUGAAUUAUUCUAAGCUUUUGAUAAGCAUCAGAAAUAGAAUUAUGAGUAUUUUUAGUUUAAUCAUCAUCAAUUGAUUGAUGAUGAAUCAAGCAUACAAAUACUAAUAAAGCUACUUUCGGCGCUGCGUUAACAAAACUAGCAAACGGCAAUAUUCACUACAGUACUGUAGAAGUGUAGAUGACUUAAUUUCCAGGGAGUGAUUAUCGGGACAAAUAAAAAAAUUGCUGUGAUGAAUGGACUCUAUAGUCCAUCUAAGACAUAAAGAUUAUGAGUUUUUUAUUUGAGGUCGCUUUAUCGAAACACGGUCUCUCACAAUAAUAGUGAUUUCGACAAACUUUUUUUUGUUUUUGAAAAAAAGCACCAUACAAUUUAGAAUUUUGUUUUUCUACAAAAUUUCAGCUUCACUUCCAUGGCAUAAUAUAAAAACUAAAAACCUAAAACCUGUGUGCAGUCUGUAAUCGACAAAAUUUCAUGUGUAGUUUUUGAUUUUACAUAGUAGACGUAAAGAAUUUUAUUUCAACACCGAACUGUUAUCCUACUCAUAUAGUAGAUAAAAUGUUAAGUUUUUUGUUAUCUUUUAAGUCUUACUAAUUUCAUACAGGUAAUUUCAAAUAGAAAAAGUAUUUAUAAUUUUUCAAACCAAAUGAUAUUUAUUUAGAAGGGCAAAUAGAGUAUAUAAUAAAUAGUGGACGAAAAAUCCUAAUAACGCCCUACAUUAAAGGGAAACGGCUUCAUGACUUGUUAAUUGUUAUAGACUUUUAUUUGAAAGGAUGAAAAAGUAGGAGGCUGUAAUUAUUACACCCAUACAUUAAUAUUACUUAUUUGAAAUAGGAAAAUUUUGUAGAGGAAUAAUUGGGGAAGUCAAUUUGUGAAUGGUUCCCAGUCUGGGUGUUUGGAAUUAUAUAUAGGAACAUGCCAAUUGCCAAUGCUAAAACAACAACAGAAAACCCCACGAAGACGACAAGCAGCACUCAGCAGUCAACAAUCAUUUUUCUAUCUUUCUAAGAUAUUGUCUGAAGCCUGAUAUAUCCGAUAAAGAACUUAUUAUAUGAAAAUUUAUGUGAAUAAUAUAAUUUUUUUAAAUUUUAUCAUAAUAAUACUAACUCUGGAUUAAUUAUAAAUAAUAUCAUUUUAGAGGGUUUUUUUAAAAUAAUAUCAACUUUAGUUUUUUAAGUAAUUUAUCAAUUUUUUUGUCAUAUAAUCUUCUAUAUUUUGAUUUUUAACAUGUUAAGGAUAUUUUAAGAAAACACCCCCUAAGUUGGUAUUAUCCAUAGUUAAUCAAAAAAUUUUAUUGUUGUAGGAAAAUAAGUAAAAAUCUGUAUUAUUCUUGGUAACUUUUUCCUUAUUAUAUAUAUAUAUAUGAAUGUUGCAUGCUAAUUAGGGAUGGUCAUGGGUUCAGGACCCUUUUGGAUCCGCUUUGGACGUGCCCCUUUUUUAAGGGUCUGGGUAUUAAUUUUUGAGACCCAUCGGAUCUGGAUUCGGGUCUGGAUCCAAAAAAAACUGACGGGUCCGGGUCCGGGUGGAUCCGGGUCCUAAGGUGAAGACCCGAACCCUAAACUUUUAAAUUUUAUAUUUUUAAUUUCUGAUUUCUUAAUUCUAAUAUCAUGAAUAAUCUCAUUCUGGAAUUGAAAUCUGUUAUCUUUUUUUACCUUUAUUUACAUUGUUGUAUAUAAACAUUGUUCUUCAUUUUUGUUCCCUGAAUUUGUGGUUUAUUCUUUCUUAAAUUUGUGUGAUUUUUAAUAAUUCUACCCAAUUUUUUCUCUUUUUCCAUGUAUAAUUACUCCUUAACAUUGUCUUUUACUUCCUCGAUUUAAGCAUAAUGUUUCCAAGCUUAUUUGAUCAAUUUUGAUACUAAAUUGUGUUUUUUCUUCUCUGCCAUUUCUGUCUUCUUUGUUCUUCCUUUCUUUUACUGCAAGACAAAAACUGAUAUAAUAUUUUCAAAGCCAUCUUUAA